rnacentral:rRNA from 1 species
CAGUAGCCGCGGUAAUACGGAGGGUGCAAGCGUUAUCCGGAUUUAUUGGGUUUAAAGGGUCCGUAGGCGGAUCUGUAAGUCAGUGGUGAAAUCUCACAGCUUAACUGUGAAACUGCCAUUGAUACUGCAGGUCUUGAGUAAAUUUGAAGUGGCUGGAAUAAGUAGUGUAGCGGUGAAAUGCAUAGAUAUUACUUAGAACACCAAUUGCGAAGGCAGGUCACUAAGAUUUAACUGACGCUGAUGGACGAAAGCGUGGGGAGCGAACAGGAUUAGAGACCCCAGUAGUCCCUGUCUCUUAUAC